CAACUAUUGAAAUGUGGGAACCCUGACCAGCCACGCCGCGUGAGCGAAGAAGCCCUUUGGGGUGUAAAGCUCUGUCCCAUGAACGAAAAAAGUGACGGUACCUGUGGAGGAAGCAUCGGCUUCCUCGUGCCAGCCGCCGCGGUAAUACGGCC
rnacentral:rRNA from 1 species